rnacentral:rRNA from 1 species
GAUGAACGCUAGCGGCAGGCCUAACACAUGCAAGUCGAGGGGCAGCACAGAAACAGCAAUGUUUUGGUGGCGACCGGCGGACGGGUGCGUAACGCGUAUGCAACCUACCUUUAACAGGGGGAUAACGGAGAGAAAUUUCCACUAAUACCCCAUAACAUCGAUCAAGGCAUCUUGAUUGGUUGAAAACUCCGGUGGUUAAAGAUGGGCAUGCGUUGUAUUAGGUAGUUGGUGAGGUAAUGGCUCACCAAGCCUACGAUACAUAGGGGGACUGAGGGGUUAGCCCCCCACACUGGUACUGAGACACGGACCAGACUCCUACGGGAGGCAGCAGUAAGGAAUAUUGGUCAAUGGGGGCAACCCUGAACCAGCCAUGCCGCGUGCAGGAAGACGGCUCUAUGAGUUGUAAACUGCUUUUAAACAGGGAUAAAGCACAGUAUGUAUACUGUGUUGAAGGUACUGUAAGAAUAAGGAUCGGCUAACUCCGUGCCAGCCGCCGCGGUAA